rnacentral:rRNA from 1 species
GACGAACGCUGGCGGCGUGCUUAACACAUGCAAGUCGAACGGAAAGGCCCUGCUUUUGUGGGGUGCUCGAGUGGCGAACGGGUGAGUAACACGUGAGUAACCUGCCCUUGACUUUGGGAUAACUUCAGGAAACUGGGGCUAAUACCGGAUAGGAGCUCCUGCUGCAUGGUGGGGGUUGGAAAGUGUCGGCGGUUGGGGAUGGACUCGCGGCUUAUCAGCUUGUUGGUGGGGUAGUGGCGUACCAAGGCUUUGACGGGUAGCCGGCCUGAGAGGGUGACCGGCCACAUUGGGACUGAGGUACGGCCCAGACUGCUACGGGAGGCAGGAGUGGAGAAUAGUGCAAAAUGGGCGGAAGGCUUAUGCAGCAACGCCGCGUGCGGGAGGACGGCCUUCGGGUUGUAACCCGCUUUCGCCUGUGACGAAGCGUGAUUGACGGUAAUGGAUAAAGAAGCACCGGCUAACUACGU